rnacentral:rRNA from 1 species
AACGAACGCUGGCGGCGCGUCUUAAACAUGCAAGUCGAACGGCAGGAAGGGGCUUGCCCCUUCUGAGAGUGGCGGACUGGUGAGUAACACGUGGGUGACAUACCUUUUAGUUGGGGAUAGCUAUUAGAAAUAGUAGGUAAUACCGAAUGUGACCGUACCUGUUAGAGGGGUACGAGGAAAGGAACUAAGGCUUCGCUAAAAGAAUGGCUCGCGGCCCAUUAUGCUCGUUGGUGAGGUAACGGCCCACCAAGGCGAUGAUGGGUAUCCGGCCUGAGAGGGUGAACGGACACAUUGGGACUGAGAUACGGCCCAGACUUCUACGGGAGGCAGCAGUUAAGAAUAUUCCGCAAUGGACGAAAGUCUGACGGAGCGACGCCGCGUGGAUGAAGAAUGCCGAAAGGUUGUAAAAUCCUUUUAAGCCUGAUGAAUAAGCACAGUAGGGAAUGAUUGUGCGGUGACCGUAGGGCUUGAAUAAGCACCGGCUAAUUACGUG